AUUGAACGCUGGCGGCAUGCCUUACACAUGCAAGUCGAACGGUAACAGGUCUUCGGAUGCUGACGAGUGGCGAACGGGUGAGUAAUGCAUCGGAACGUGCCCAGUAGUGGGGGGUAGCCCGGCGAAAGCCGGAUUAAUACCGCAUACGACCUGAGGGUGAAAGGGGGGGAUCGCAAGACCUCUCGCUAUUGGAGCGGCCGAUGUCAGAUUAGCUAGUUGGGGGGGUAAAGGCCCACCAAGGCAACGAUCUGUAGUUGGUCUGAGAGGACGACCAGCCACACUGGGACUGAGAAACGGCCCAGACUCCUACGGGAGGCAGCAGUGGGGAAUUUUGGACAAUGGGCGCAAGCCUGAUCCAGCAAUGCCGCGUGCAGGAAGAAGGCCUUCGGGUUGUAAACUGCUUUUGUACGGAACGAAAAGGACUGCCCUAAUACGGUGGUCCCAUGACGGUACCGUAAGAAUAAGCACCGGCUAACUACGUGCCAGCCGCCGCUGUAAAAC
rnacentral:rRNA from 1 species